ACCCUAAUGCUGACUAAAGGAAAGUUCAGUUUAGGGUUUAAAAACCCUAAUGCUGACUAAAGGAAAAGUUCAGUUUAGGGUUUAAAACCCUAAUGCUGACUGAAUGGAAAAGAGUUCAGUUUAGGGUUUAAAACCCUAAUGCUCACCGAAUGGAAAAGAUUUCAGUUUAGGGUUUAAAACCCUAAUGCUGACUGAAUGGAAAAGAGUCCAGUUUAGGGUUAAAAACCCUAAUGCUGACUAAAGGAAAAAGUUCAGUUUAGGGUUUAAAACCCUAAUGCUGACUGAAUGGAAAAAGUUCAGUUUAGGGUUUAAAACCCUAAUGCUGACCGAAUGGAAAAGAGUUCAGUUUAGGGUUUAAAAUCCUAAUGCUGACUGAAUGGAAAAAGUUUAGUUUAGGGUUUAAAACCUUAAUGCUGACUAAAGGAAAGAGUUUAGUUUAUGGUUUAAAACCCUAAUGCUGACUGAAUGGAAGAGUUCAUUUUAGGGUUUAAAACCCUAAUGCUAACUGAAUGGAAAAAGUUCAGUUUACGGUUUAAAACCCUAAUACUGACAAAGGAAAUAGUUCAGUUUAGGGUUUAAAACCCUAAUGCUGACUGAAUGGAAAAGAGUUCAGUUUAGGGUUUAAAACCCUAAUACUGACUCUGACUACAGGAAAAAGUUCAGUUUAUGGUUUAAAACCCUAAUGCUGACUGAAUGGAAAAGAGUCCAGUUUAGGGUUUAAAACCUUAAUGCUGACUAAAGGAAAAAGUUCAGUUUAGGGUUUAAAAUCCUAAUGCUGACUAAAGGAAAGAGUUCAGUUUAGGGUUUAAAACCCUAAUGAUGACAGAAUGGAAAAAGUUUAGUUUUGGGUUUAAAACCUUAAUGCUGACUAAAGGAAAGAAU
rnacentral:lncRNA from 1 species